UUAAUUUUUUGGAGAUCAUUUUUUUAUUUUCCAUGUGGUUUUCAUAAUAUCUAGAAAAAACAAGGAUAAAACGUAAAAAAACGGGAAAUUUACGAAAAUAAAGCUUUUAUUAUUUUUUUUAAUUUUGUUAUUUGUUGUAAUGCAGUUAAAAAUAUUGUUACAGACUUGAAUUUUAAAAAGACAAUUUAUAUUUGCUUUUUCUAGACAUGGUAAGCUUUUCAAAAAAUUUAAGACAUUUCUGAGCUAUUUAUAGGCAUUUUAAUUUUAAGAGUUUUGUACGUAAUUUUAUUCGAUUGGUACUCUGUGGUUGAAUCGUUAGACUUAUCAAAAAUACUGGAAAAUUCA